UUCCAGACUCCUACGGGAGGCAGCAGUGAGGAAUAUUGGUCAAUGGGCGGGAGCCUGAACCAGCCAAGUCGUGUGAGGGAAGGCGGUCCUAUGGAUUGUAAACCUCUUUAGGCGGGGAGCAAUGCCGGGCACGCGUGUCCGGAGGGAGAGUACCCGCAGAAUAAGCAUCGGCUAACUCCGUGCCAGCAGCCGCGGUAAUACGGAGGAUGCGAGCGUUAUCCGGAUUUAUUGGGUUUAAAGGGUGCGUAGGCGGAGUUUUAAGUCAGCGGUAAAAUGUCCGGGCUCAACCCGGGCCGGCCGUUGAAACUGAUGUUCUUGAGUGGGCGAGAAGUAUGCGGAAUGCGUGGUGUAGCGGUGAAAUGCAUAGAUAUCACGCAGAACUCCGAUCGCGAAGGCAGCCUACCGGCGCGCUACUGACGCUCAUGCACGAAAGCGUGGGUAUCGAACAGGAUUAGAUACCCUCGUACA
rnacentral:rRNA from 1 species